AGUGUGCGUCUUGCAGCUCAUUGAUGUCAGCUCUUUACUGUGUGGGUUUACAGCAGACAGGGAGUCUUGAUUAUCUUGUAACCUCUCCACACCUCUGCCCCUCUCAGCUAACGAUGCUAAUGGAUGGAGCUGUGUUUAUGUGCUUUGCUUAAUGAAAGCUGCAGAGCGGCAGCCUCAGCGCUGCGUCCUCCUGAACUCACAUUAAAGCCCAGAUGCAGUAAAAGGACGAGACAGGCGGAGGAAAUCACAAAGCGCAGCACGCAGGAGUGAAAGGAAGAAGUUUGUAAGAGUCAGACGGAUCACAAAGGACGAGACGCUGCAGGAAUGAGGAGCAUGGCAAAGAUGGCCGACGCCCCUUCUGCACAUGAUGAACUUUCAAUGAAGGUUAGCGUCUCCAGAGGAAACCACAGCUGCACCAGAACCAUCAUUAAAAAUCAGACUGCAGACAUUCAGCAGCAGCUCUUCUGAAGAAAACUAACCUGCUGACAGAUCAAAUCCAGCUGAACAUCAGCUGCCUGAAGCCUCCUCUUCAGGGAUCAAACACCUUCAGCAGGUUCCUGCUGGCAUAAUGACCGGAUGAGAAGCAGGUGUGAUGCAGCGGGAAGCAUCUAAAACCUGGACAGGAUUAUUCUCCAGGGAUCAGGGAUGGAUCACUAAUCAGAUCAGAAACACCUUCACUCCAAAAACAGAAUAAUUUAUAACAUUAAUACACAGAAAGACUGCAAUAAAACUAUUUAGAGGGUGAAAUAAUGUAAAACAUAGUGCGAUACUGAAUAUGCAUCCAGGCAGCAGUCUAAAUAUUUUCAGCAAAAAACUAAAUUUCUUUUAAUUCUGGAUUCUAAUUUUAAGUUUCUUAUUUGGAAUGAAAUUAAAAUCUGAACCAGCAGGAAAGCAGCAGCUUCCCAGUAAAACCAGUCUGAGCCUGCAGGGGGAGCUCAUGUUACUGCUAUCAUCACUAUGGAAACCAUCUGAGGAGAUGGUGAGGGGAAAAUAAACCAAAAAUAAAUUCAAACUCACUUUUUGGUCCAUUUUUUUGUUUGUUUUAAACAAAAAUGAAAAAAGACACAAACACACACACUUUCUGUUUUUUACCAAAAAGAAACAUUGGCUCUAUCUAUAUCUAUAGAUCUAGAUCUAUAGAUCAAUAUCUAGAUCUAGAUCUAUAUCUUGAUUAAAUCUUGAUUUCCAGAUGAAAUAAAAAUGUAUAUUUGAAACUCCAGACCUCUGAUGAACAGUCUGGUUCUGGUUCUGGUUCUGCUCAGCCCAGGUGAGACGCCUCUGACUCUGACUCCUCUUAAGACUCCAGUUAUUCCUGCUGCUUUUCCUUCCACUCAACUUUCUGAGAUUUAAACUGAAUCAAGUUCCAGUGACAAAUUAACGUUUUAAUGAUAUUUCUGUUCACUCUGAUUUCUCCCCAACGGUAGAAGAUCAGAUCAAAUCCCUGCACUUUGUUGGAUCUAUAACUGAACAUAUUAAGAACUAAUUGUAUUGCUGAAUUUUCUAUUAAUUAUUGUUGCAAAUAUAAUUUUUUAAUGUAUUUUCACGGAUCCAGUAAUAUUGCAGCAGCUUUAUUCAUUACU